rnacentral:rRNA from 1 species
AAUCAACGCUGGCGGCGUGCCUCAGACAUGCAAGUCGAACGAUUAAAGCUCUCUUCGGAGAGUGUAUAGAGUGGCGCACGGGUGAGUAACACGUAAGUAAUCUACCUUUGAGUGGGGAAUAACAGUCGGAAACGACUGCUAACACCGCAUAAUGCAGCGGCAUCGCAAGAUGACAGUUGUUAAAGGAGCAAUCCGCUUAAAGAGGAGCUUGCGGCAGAUUAGCUUGUUGGUAAGGUAACGGCUUACCAAGGCUACGAUCUGUAUCCGGUCUAAGAGGACGGUCGGACACACUGACACUGAAUAGCGGGUCAGACUCCUACGGGAGGCAGCAGUCGGGAAUUUUGGGCAAUGGGCGAAAGCCUGACCCAGCAACGCCGCGUGAAGGAUGAAGGUCUUCGGAUUGUAAACUCCUGUUGCCCGGACGAAUAGCUCCGACCUAACACGUCGGAGUCUGACGGUACCGGGUGAGGAAG